GGGCCCGUAGCUCAGCCAGGCAGAGCGGCGGGCUCCAGACCCGUAGGGCGGGGGUUCAAAUCCCUCCGGGCCCACCA
rnacentral:tRNA from 3 species